UGCGCAGUGCAGUGUAGAGGUCGCGUAUCGGCUCGUGACGGCGGCAGUGAAGUGAUUGUUGUGAUAAAGAGAAAGAGAGAGAGAGAGAAAGGGAAGAUGGUGUAUCACUCCGUGGCGCUGCCGCUCAUCUGCUUCACCGCACUGUGGGCUUUAGUCGGAGGCGUCGCGCCCUUUUUUGUUCCUAAAGGACCGAACAGAGGAGUGAUCAUUACCAGUUUGGUGCUGACGGCUGUGUGCUGCUAUUUAUUCUGGUUGAUUGCGUUCCUGGCGCAGGUGAACCCUCUGUUUGGGCCGCAGCUGAAGAAUGAGACUAUCUGGUACCUGCGGUACUACUGGGAAUAAAACUGAGUGGAAAAGAAUCGGAAGGGUUUUGAAGAAUGAAAUGGGAGCUUUGCAUCAGAAGUGAAGGAUUUCAUUGGCUGUAUGAUGACGACAUUCCCUGGGUCACUUCCUGUACAUCCUUCCCCUCCUGUCAUGUAGCUGAACACACUCUUUCCUCAACAUAGUGUUUUUGUUUCUUGUUUUAUAUUUAACAGAGUGGUGGUGUAGGUUAGUGUGUGUGUGAACAGUGACAGUGUUGUGCUGAAGAUGACUUCUGUGUGCAAUAUUAGUUUAAAAAAAAUACUUGGUUUAUAUUCUCUCUCUCUCUGACCAGCCUGUAACAUGUGUAUGUUGGGUUUAUUUAUUACAUUAUUUAUUUUAGGUGUGUGUGCAGUAUGAAGCUCAGAAACAUGCUCUGACUUUACUGCUCAUAGUGUGUGUGUGUGUGUGUGUGUGUGUGUUGAGAGAAGUUAUGGGUAUUGUUACGAUGUGAUGAACUGUCUGAUCCAUGAUGAUGAUGAUGAUAUCUGCCCUGCUGUUUGAGUUCCUUCCUCUCUGUUCCCUGGAUAUCAUCUCUAACUCUCGUCCCUGUAAACACUCGUUUGUGACUAACACAAUUUAUAGGGUUCAGAUCGCCAUCUGUGUAACUCGGGUUAUUUAUUCUUUCGUUUUUACCCUUCGAUGUGGCCGCUUUGUUUCCAUGGAGAUCCUCAAAACUUUUUUUUUUUGCCAAACAGCUCGCAGGACACAAACAUCACUAAUAUCACUGAGUGAGAAUCACUGUUGUUAUUUCGAGCCUUUUUGUUUCACAUCAUUUUCAAGGUUAAGGAUGAAACUCGGUCUGAUUGGCGCUGAUGGACUUUCAGGUCUCUGUGGAAACAACUCGGAUUUCUAAUCAUUAUGGUGUAAACACUGCUGAUGUCUCUGUAAAACACUCAAUAAAAUCAGGAUGGAUCUCA